rnacentral:rRNA from 1 species
GUGCUUGCACCUUUCAAGCGAGUGGCGAACGGGUGAGUAACACGUGGAUAACCUGCCUCAAGGCUGGGGAUAACAUUUGGAAACAGAUGCUAAUACCGAAUAAAACUUAGUAUCGCAUGAUAUCAAGUUAAAAGGCGCUACGGCGUCACCUAGAGAUGGAUCCGCGGUGCAUUAGUUAGUUGGUGGGGUAAAGGCUUACCAAGACGAUGAUGCAUAGCCGAGUUGAGAGACUGAUCGGCCACAUUGGGACUGAGACACGGCCCAAACUCCUACGGGAGGCUGCAGUAGGGAAUCUUCCACAAUGGGCGCAAGCCUGAUGGAGCAACGCCGCGUGUGUGAUGAAGGCUUUCGGGUCGUAAAGCACUGUUGUAUGGGAAGAAAUGCUAAAAUAGGGAAUGAUUUUAGUUUGACGGUACCAUACCAGAAAGGGACGGCUAAAUACGUGCCAGCAGCCGCGGUAAUACGUAUGUCCCGAGCGUUAUCCGGAUUUAUUGGGCGUAAAGCGAGCGCAGACGGUUGAUUAAGUCUGAUGUGAAAGCCCGGAGCUCAACUCCGGAAUGGCAUUGGAAACUGGUUAACUUGAGUGUUGUAGAGGUAAGUGGAACUCCAUGGG